CCCCGGCUGCUAACAACAAAUUGCUGACUGAAAGUUAGCAAAGAACAGCAGGUGUUACAGCAGUUCCUGGAUUAGGUACACAGAUGACACAGCCCGCCAUUCCAGCACCCAGGAAGGAUUGUGUUGAAACUAACGAGAAUGACCAUGAAAGGCUGUGUAAACCGUGGAGUGCGGUACCUACAUUACACCGUCAUGGGAUCUUCAACUUGGAAGAGGCCCCUCUAAACCCCAGAAUUGUAAAGGGUUAACAUCUUGUGAUAUGUUCUGCCAAGAGGACGGCCAUGACCUCUGGCCACAGCCAGAAGAGACACAUGGCAUCAAUAUCCAUGUGCGACGUGCUGCACACAGUAUUUCUCAGGAUGAUAACACCAGCUGUGGGAGACUGCUGCAUCCUUGAACUCAAGGGAGUAUGCAACAUAGUCUAUUCAAAUAAAAUUUCAGGAGUUCUGCCCUGGGGGCUCCCCCUCCUUUAUCCCUGCUCGCUUACUUUUCCCACGGCUUUCAUAAUAAAUAUCCAUUGGACUUUU